UACGGGGGGGAGCAAGCGUUUGUUCGGAUUUACUGGGCGUAAAGGGCGCGUAGGCGGUCAGCACAAGUCAAUUGUGAAAUCUCCGAGCUUAACUCGGAAAGGUCAACUGAAACUGUGCGACUAGAGUGCGGAAGGGGCAACUGGAAUUCUUGGUGUAGCGGUGAAAUGCGUAGAUAUACGGAGGAACACCUGCGGCGAAGGCGGGUAGCUGGGCCAACACUGACGCUGAGACGCGAAAGCUAGGGGAGCAAACGGG
rnacentral:rRNA from 1 species